rnacentral:rRNA from 1 species
GAUGAACGCUGGCGGCGUGCCUAAUACAUGCAAGUCGAGCGAACAGACGAGGAGCUUGCUCCUCUGACGUUAGCGGCGGACGGGUGAGUAACACGUGGAUAACCUACCUAUAAGACUGGGAUAACUUCGGGAAACCGGAGCUAAUACCGGAUAAUAUAUUGAACCGCAUGGUUCAAUAGUUAAAGACGGUUUUGCUGUCACUUAUAGAUGGAUCCGCGCCGCAUUAGCUAGUUGGUAAGGUAACGGCUUACCAAGGCAACGAUGCGUAGCCGACCGGAGAGGGUGAUCGGCCACACUGGAACUGAGACACGGUCCAGACUCCUACGGGAGGCAGCAGUAGGGAAUCUUCCGAAAUGGGCGAAAGCCUGACGGAGCAACGCCGCGUGAGUGAUGAAGGUCUUCGGAUCGUAAAACUCUGUUAUUAGGGAAGAACAAAUGUGUAAGUAACUAUGCACGUCUUGACGGUACCUAAUCAGAAAGCCACGGCUAACUACGUG